rnacentral:tRNA from 1 species
GCCCCCGUAGCUCAGCUGGAUAGAGCAGCGGCCUUCUAAUCCGCAGGUCCCCCGUUCGAAUCGGGGCGGGGGCG